UACAGAGGGUGCUAGCGUUGUUCGGAAUCAUUGGGCGUAAAGGGCGUGUAGGCGGUUUGUUAAGUCAUGUGUGAAAUCCCUCGGCUCAACCGGGGAACGACGCAUGAAACUGGCAAGCUAGAGUACCAAAGAGGGGGGUGGAAUUCCCGGUGUAGCGGUGAAGUGCGUAGAUAUCGGGAGGAACGCCGGUGGCGAAAGCGAUUCUCUGGUCCUUUCCUGACACUGAGGCGCGAAAGCUAGGGGAGCAAACAGG
rnacentral:rRNA from 1 species